GACGAACGCUGGCGGCGUGCCUAACACAUGCAAGUCGAGCGAUGAAAUUCCUUCGGGGAUGGAUUAGCGGCGGACGGGUGAGUAACACGUGGGUAACCUGCCUCAAAGUGGGGGAUAGCCUUCCGAAAGGAAGAUUAAUACCGCAUAAUAUUAGAUUUUCGCACGAAGAACUAAUUAAAGGAGCAAUUCGCUUUGAGAUGGACCCGCGGCGCAUUAGCUAGUUGGUGAGGUAAUAGCUCACCAAGGCGACGAUGCGUAGCCGACCUGAGAGGGUGAUCGGCCACAUUGGAACUGAGACACGGUCCAGACUCCUACGGGAGGCAGCAGUGGGGAAUAUUGCACAAUGGGGGAAACCCUGAUGCAGCAACGCCGCGUGAGUGAUGAAGGUCUUCGGAUUGUAAAGCUCUGUCUUUUGGGACGAUAAUGACGGUACCAAAGGAGGAAGCCACGGCUAACUACGUGCCAGCCGCCGCCGUAACAC
rnacentral:rRNA from 1 species